UUUCAAACUAUAAACAUUCUUGACCAUUUUAUGCUGAAAAAAACAAUACAAUAAAAUAAUGUCGCGGCGAUCGGCAGCUGACUGUGCGUAUAUAUAUAUAUAUAUAUAUAUAUAUAUAUAUAUAUAUAUAUAUAUAUAUAUAUAUAUAUUCUGACAGGUUGCAAGGAACAAGUUCAGCUUCCUGGUCAUGCAGCUCUCAACACUUGGUGUUAUGAACAUCUUUCACACUGACUCAUCACUGGUCCCACUCGUCCCACCGGCCCACCACUCGUCCCACCGGCCCACCACUCGGCACCGAGCAGACGACCAUCCAACAUCUGUUUUAUAAAUGUUUACUCUGCAAAAGAAAUAAAGUUUGAUUACAAAGAACACUUGAA